rnacentral:lncRNA from 1 species
AUUCAGAAAUAUAUCAGUGUCCUUAUUCUCCUGUAAAAGAAUACAAGCUGAAACGCUUUCAGGUGACAGUAUUGCUCAACAUAAAAACUAUGUGGACCCUGAUGUGCAGAAACUUAAGUCAAUUGCCCAAGGUCGCAUUGCUGGUAUCUCCAUUUGUUAUGCUUGGAAAGUGAGAAAGCAUUCAACUGGCAAAGGAAGUGAACAAAAACAAGAUCAAGAAUAAACAUGACUUAAUUAAAAUCAUAAUGAGGUAUCAUCUUACCCCAGUCAGAAUGUCUCUUAUUAAAAAAAAAAAAA